rnacentral:ncRNA from 1 species
UACCCAGUAAAGAUUAACCACCAGCUGGUACCUAGACCUUGGAGCCAAAGCAGUAAUGUUAGGUUUAAGCGUAGGUAGGGGAAUAUGAGAGCCAGAAUGCGAAAGCGUGAAAUGAUUGAGCCUCGUUAUGUGAAGAAAUGGAAGCUGAUGCCUUUGUGUGAGCAGCAAGCAGUAAUAUAUAUUCGAUAUGGUGAGAAUAUAUAGGUUCCAUCGGGGUCGUAGAA